rnacentral:tRNA from 3 species
UCGUUCAUAGUUUAAUGGAUAAAACAACAGACUACGGAUCUGUCGAUACGAGUUCGAAUCUCAUUGAACGAA